AGCUGCUGGUCUGCCUCCAAUUUCAAAAAUGUGCUCUUAUUGUGGUCUCCCCGGGCACGUUUGGAAUGCCAUGUCAAAGCACCUGGAUAUCCUUCAUUAAAAAAACAUCAUGCGAGCAUUGCAUUUCCCCGGUCACGGGGAACAGGAGUGCCACAUUAAAGCAGCAGGAUUGCCGCCGCUGCCACCACCUCCAAUGGAG